CGUACGUCGGGAAUCCCGAAAAUGUAAGUUUUCGCUAAUAAACCAACUGAUCCAGGAAAUGGUGACCCAGUUUAGACCGGUCAGCAUAUAUCCGAAGCCUUGCUGUUCGAAAUGCUGGUUAAUUCGAUCCGCGUCCGCGAGGUAACGUUAUUGUAUUUCCGAUCGGGAUUGGACACGGGAUGGUCUGAUUCUGCCUAAUUGUUCUCUGAAUCUCUGAAGGUACAAGUUAUGUACAACAACGUCCAAGAGAAAGUCCUUUAAGAGUACCCUGAGAGUUUCCCGUACGGUUCUUGCGCUGAGGGACAAGCUAAAAGAAUCACUUGGGAUUCGACAUCAGACGAAUUGAUUCCAGAUUUGGCGGCGCGGCAGAUCAAACAUGUUCUCUGAAGUUGACGGCAGAGUACCUUAGAAUGCUAUGCUUUUUUCCUGCCUAAAUCUGCUCAGCCAACGAUCCUGUAACCAUUUCAAACAGCUUAGCUUUGGUGAUACCUUGUUCUAGAGCUGCGUUCGCUUCGGUUGGUUAUGGUCUUUCUGCCUCCUGGAGGUGUAAUCUCAUAUGAUGGCUGAUACAGAACGUGCAUGCACAAACCAAAUCGUUGGGAAUUUCUGGAAAAAAAAUCCUGAUAAAUCAGACAAGAUUUUUUUCGAAAUGAUCGAGACUUCAUAUAGAAAAAUCAUAAUUAAACGGCAAUAAGGUAAUUAACAACAAUUUUUUACACACUUGCAUACAACAUUGUGAAUAAUUUAGCCUGGAGAUUAGUAAGAAGCAAUUAACAAGCGAAAAGUCAAUAAUUCUAGCCGUAUCGCUCUAACCGAAACACAAAGAUUCCACUUUGAAGCAAAAAAAUCAUUUUAGACUAUUUCAUGAAGAAAAAUAUAGUUGUUGCAGUUUUAUGGUAACAAUAUUUGAAAAAGAAUUUGUACUUAUGGCAUUCUUUCCAAAA